rnacentral:rRNA from 1 species
AGAGUUUGAUCCUGGCUCAGGAUGAACGCUAGCGGCAGGCUUAACACAUGCAAGUCGAACGGUAACAGGGGUAGCAAUACCCGCUGACGAGUGGCGCACGGGUGCGUAACGCGUAUGCAACUUGCCCUGUACUGGGGGAUAGCCCCGGGAAACCGGGAUUAAUACCCCAUAAUGUUAUAAGAGGGCAUCCUUUUAUAAUUAAAGCUACGGUGGUACAGGAUGGGCAUGCGUGCCAUUAGUUGGUUGGUGAGGUAACGGCUCACCAAGGCGAUGAUGGCUAGGGGGUCUGAGAGGAUGGUCCCCCACACUGGUACUGAGACACGGACCAGACUCCUACGGGAGGCAGCAGUGAGGAAUAUUGGUCAAUGGGCGGAAGCCUGAACCAGCCAUGCCGCGUGCAGGAUGACGGCCCUAAGGGUUGUAAACUGCUUUUGUAUGGGAAGAAUACCCUGGUUGCGACCGGGAUUGACGGUACCAUACGAAUAAGCAUCGGCUAACUCCGUGCCAGCAGCCGCGGUAAUACGGAGGAUGCAAGCGUUAUCCGGAUUCAUUGGGUUUAAAGGGUGCGCAGGCGGAAUAGCAAGUCAGUGGUGAAAGUCUACAGCUAACUGUAGAAUUGCCAUUGAAACUGUUAUUCUUGAAUUCAGUUGAGGUAGGCGGAAUGUGUAAUGUAGCGGUGAAAUGCAUAGAUAUUACACAGAACACCGGAUUGCGUAGGCAGCUUACUAAACUGAGAAUGGACGCUGAGGCACGAAAGCCUGGGGGAGCAAACAAGGAAUAGAUACCCUGGUAGUCCACGCUGUAAACGAUGAUUACUGGAUGUGUGCGAUACACUGUACGUGUCUGAGCGAAAGCAUUAAGUAAUCCACCUGGGGAGUACGUCGGCAACGAUGAAACUCAAAGGAAUUGACGGGGGCCCGCACAAGCGGAGGAACAUGUGGUUUAAUUCGAUGAUACGCGAGGAACCUUACCUGGGCUUAAAUGCAUUUUGAUUUACCGGGAAACCGGCAUUCCCUUCGGGGCAAUUUGCAAGGUGCUGCAUGGUUGUCGUCAGCUCGUGCCGUGAGGUGUCGGGUUAAGUCCCAUAACGAGCGCAACCCCUAUCGUUAGUUGCCAUCGGGUAAAGCCGGGGACUCUAACGAAACUGCCAGUGUAAACUGUGAGGAAGGUGGGGAUGACGUCAAAUCAGCACGGCCCUUAUGUCCAGGGCUACACACGUGUUACAAUGGCCGGUACAGAGGGCAGCUACCUGGCGACAGGAUGCUAAUCUCGAAAGCCGGUCUUAGUUCGGAUCGAAGUCUGCGACUCGACUUCGUGAAGCUGGAUUCGCUAGUAAUCGCGCAUCAGCAACGGCGCGGUGAAUACGUUCCCGGGCCUUGUACACACCGCCCGUCAAGCCAUGGAAGCCGGGGGUGCCUGAAGUCCGUAACCGUUAAGGAGCGGCCUAGGGCAAGACCGGUGACUGGGGCUAAGUCGUAACAAGGUAGCCGU